rnacentral:tRNA from 1 species
GGGAUUGUGGCUCAGUGGUAGAGCGCUCACCUAGCACGUGCGAGGCCGUGGGUUUGAUCCUCAGCAUCACA